GGGGGGCCGACCUGAUUCACAAUAUCACGAUACGGUGAUGUAGUUAAAAUAAAUCCUCACCAUCUUCUUGUUUCCCUUUCUCUUUCUCUCAAACACACACACACACACACACACAAUUCACUUUGCGUCAGUUUCUCCAAAUCACCUUAGCAUAUGGGGUGACCAUUAUGGAGUGAGCUUUUAAGCACAUAGGCCUACUACAAUCAAUAAAGCAUAAGUUACCAUUCGUACGGUUUUCUUUAAAUACAGCUUUUUCCACCGUUCGUUAGUUACUCACACCAAAGAGCGCAUUUACAGGAACACCGAGACCUAUCAUGGACUUUGUUAAGAAAACUUUUACCAUCUUUUUUAAACCAUUUUCUCGUCCUUUAAGCGAUCCGUUAAUUUAUUAUUAUUUUCUAUUUACAGACAUCAUCAAUCUAACGGACGAAGGUUAUCUCAUGAGCCCAGAGUAUAACAACCUGUCCGACUGUAAGUCUUGUUCUCGUUGAUGUUGUUAACGCACAUCUCAUACACAUUUAUGCAUCUAAUACACAAUAAAUUCCGUUGUUUUUGUUUGUUUUACAGUCACGGUCGAUGAUCUGGAAGAGUUGAGCGAAAUCAUUCGUCAAGCGGAGGCCGUGGUUAAAAGAGCUGACCCGGUCCAACCAUCGUCUCAGACCGCUCCGGAGCAUGCGAAGGACGCUACACGUCCUCCUGUACAAACGCUACAUUCUUCUGCACCCGGGAGGAAGAGGUGGCGGACGCCCAGCAGCAGCACCAGCACCAGCAGCAGCACCAGCACCAGCACCAGCAGCAGCAGCAGCAGCACCAGCACCAGCAGCAGCAGCACCAGCACCAGCAGCAGCGACAGUGACGGUCGACCAAGUGUUUCUCGCAACGGUCGUAAAACCGCAAAAAGACCCAGAAAAUGUACGCAUAGUUUCAAAUGUGCGAUCUGUCAGAGGGAGAGACAAGAAAUACAUCUUCUCGUCGGUACUACGCUAAGGACCAUGAGCGAUAUCCUCUUUGUGAUGGGCCUUGGUGUUUGAGCCAAAAAGACCCAGAAAAUGUACGCGCGACCUUGUCAGAGGGAGAAAGAAGAAAAUACAUCUUCUCGUCGGU